rnacentral:lncRNA from 1 species
AUUAAAAUUUCUCUGAAUUUAAGGGGUUGAACAAUUUUUUUAUGAUUUCUAAGAAUCCUCAAAUUGAUAGCCGACAUGGCACUUUUUAAGUGAUCUAAAAAGUGGCAUAGCAUAGCCGACGACGAAAAGAAACGACGCCGUUAGCCCUUGAUGAAUACGACGUCGUUUUGAUUCUUUUUUCUUUGAUAAAUCAAUUUAGGGUUCAUAUUUGAUGGAUUUCAGUCUUCACUAACGUAGAAAUCUCUGAUUAGAAUUUAGUGAAAUGCAUUUCUCGCAUUCUUCCUCCUCAAGCGCUUCGUCUAUGGCUACACCCGAUUCAUUUAGGGUAUGUAAAUGCGGAACUCGACUUGAGAUGAAAACAUCAAGAACGGUGCAAAAUCCCGGGCGAAGAUUUUGGAGAUGUGCCAACAAAGAGGUGAUUGUCAAGUUAUUUUCGAGUUUAGUGUAGUUUUUGAAGUUUUUCCUUAAAGAAACAUCCUAUUUUUCCAUAAAUAAUGUGCUUUCUUUGAGUGGAUAGAUUCUGAAAUAAACCCAAGAGAUGAAGAUGAUGAAGGUGCAAAAUUAAAUUUUUGGAUUGGUGAAUGUUAUCGCCUACAAAAGUGUGUGGAUGAAGAUUUGAAGAAAAUUAGACUGUUGGAGGAUGAAGUGAAACACCUCACACUGGAGAAGGACACCAAGAACAAGAUGUUCAAGAAGAAUAAGUUGAUAUGUGCUUGUGUUGUUGGAGUUCUUUAUGUUCUGUUGCAAUCAAUUUUUUUUUAGGAUAUUGUAGUGUCUUUGUUAGGAUAUUACUGUUUUUUAUGUCAUUCUUUUUGUAAUCUCUUUGAAAUUGG